rnacentral:rRNA from 1 species
GCCAACCGUNNAAUUUACUCUCUCCUACCUACGCCUGGGUAUUACGUGCUUUAGCUUNAAACCCAAAGGACUUGACGGUAUCCCACCCACCUAGAGGAGCCUGUUCUAUAAUCGAUGAUCCACGCUAUACCAAACCAUUUCUUGCCUACUUUCAGCCUGUAUACCUCCGUCGUAAACUUACCGUUUGAAUGUUUAAUAGUAGGUUCUAAUGGCCACCCGUCAAUACGUCAGGUCAAGGUGCAGCUUAUGAAAUGGAAAGCAAUGGGCUACAAUUUCUAACUUAGAACACACGAAAUACUGCAUGAAAUACAGCCAUGAAGGCGGAUUUAGUAGUAAAAGGGAAAUAGAGAGUCCCUUUAAACUUGGCCCUGGGAUGUGUACAAACCGCCCGUCACCCUCUUCAAUAGCCCUAAAUUUGUUUCAUAACCAGAUUCUGCACUUUAGAAGAGGCAAGUCGUAACAUGGUAAGUGUACUGGAAAGUGCACUUGGAAUAACAAAAUGUAGCUUAAUUUAAAGCCUCUCGCUUACACCGAGCAAAUGUCUUGUUAACCUCAGACCAUNGGGG